GAUUGUAAAAACCCUAAGGUAGCAGGGGACAGUUUCGCACUAUAGGCCCGGUCAACUUUUUCAAAAAAUGGAAUUACCCUGUAUUUGAAGUGAUAUUACAUGUGUAAAAAUGUAUACAAUAAUUUUAGGAUGCAUGUCAAAUGUAGCUGAGUGCUUAGUAAAAAUGUUGAUAUACAACAUGUAGGUGUCACCAUGAUUCCUAGCAUAUAGAUGGGUGCAAAUACGAAACUAAGACACGUGGUCAGUUGCUGAAGAAAUUCCGGUGAAAACAUGCAGGGUCUAGCAAAAGGUCUGUAGCUGUGAGGGAAGGUGGAUGGCCCCAUAUGAGAGAUGUAUCACAUUAGUGUCACAAUGGUAGACAACAGAGUCAAGGGGGGUGUCACCAUGAUUCCUAGCAUAUAGAUGGGUGCAAAUACGAAACUAAGACACGUGGUCAGUUGCUGAAGAAAUUCCGGUGAAAACAUGCAGGGUCUAGCAAAAGGUCUGUAGCUGUGAGGGAAGGUGGAUGGCCCCAUAUGAGAGAUGUAUCACAUUAGUGUCACAAUGGUAGACAACAGAGUCAAGGGGGGUGUCACCAUGAUUCCUAGCAUAUAGAUGGGUGCAAAUACGAAACUAAGACACGUGGUCAGUUGCUGAAGAAAUUCCGGUGAAAACAUGCAGGGUCUAGCAAAAGGUCUGUAGCUGUGAGGGAAGGUGGAUGGCCCCAUAUGAGAGGUAGAUUUUUGAGAAGGGCAGAUAGGGUUCUUGAUUGUGCACAGUGUCUAAAUCCCCAUGUUUGGUACUGUGAUGGUGUGGGGGUGGUGCGGAUUAGCCCAAAUGAGGGAAAAUCAAAGCAAAAAAGGGGAACCUGCUCAGAGCAUGUUUUGUGCACCAGCACCAGUAUUUAUAGAUUACAUGUAAUUUAGGGUCAUAAUUUAUUAACUACACUAAUAUGAAAUACAAGUAUUGACAUAAAAGGGAAAUAUGAUUUUUCAUUAGUCUGUCAUAAUCUGACUUUGGUGUAUACCCCCUAUCCACAUGUUUCAAAACCAAAGAAACUGUCCCCU